rnacentral:rRNA from 1 species
CAGUAGCCGCGGGAAUACAGAGGGUGCAAGCGUUAAUCGGAAUUACUGGGCGUAAAGCGCGCGUAGGUGGUUUGUUAAGUUGGAUGUGAAAGCCACGGGCUCAACCUGGGAACUGCAUCCAAAACUGGCAAGCUAGAGUACGGUAGAGGGUGGUGGAAUUUCCUGUGUAGCGGUGAAAUGCGUAGAUAUAGGAAGGAACACCAGUGGCGAAGGCGACCACCUGGACUGAUACUGACACUUAGGUGCGAAAGCGUGGGGAGCAAACAGGAUUAGAUACCCGCGUAGUCCCUGUCUCUUAUAU